AUAGCGUAUAUUAAAGUUGUUGCGGUUAAAAAGCUCGUAGUUGAAUCUGUGUGCCACGCUGUCGGUUCACCGCUCGCGGUGUUUAACUGGCAUGAUUGUGGGACGUCCUACCGGUGGGCUUAGCUCCUUUGGGGCGGCCCAACUAAUAUCCCAUCGCGGUGCUCUUCGUUGAGUGUCGAGGUGGGCCGGUACGUUUACUUUGAACAAAUUAGAGUGCUUAAAGCAGGCUAGUUUCGCCUGAAUACUGUGUGCAUGGAAUAAUGGAAUAGGACCUCGGUUCUAUUUUGUUGGUUUUCGGAACCCCGAGGUAAUGAUUAACAGGGACAGAUGGGGGCAUUCGUAUUGCGACGUUAGAGGUGAAAUUCUUGGAUCGUCGCAAGACGGACAGAAGCGAAAGCAUUUGCCAAAAAUGUUUUCUUUAAUCAAGAACGAAAGUUAGAGGUUCGAAGGCGAUCAGAUACCGCCCUAGUUCUAACCAUAAACGAUGCCAGCUAGCGAUCCGCCGAAGUUCCUCCGAUGACUCGGCGGGCAGCUUCCGGGAAACCAAAGCUUUUGGGUUCCGGGGGAAGUAUGGUUGCAAAGCUGAAACUUAAAGGAAUUGACGGAAGGGCACCACCAGGAGUGGAGCCUGCGGCUUAAUUUGACUCAACACGGGAAACCUCACCAGGCCCGGACACCGGAAGGAUUGACAGAUUGAGAGCUCUUUCUUGAUUCGGUGGGUGGUGGUGCAUGGCCGUUCUUAGUUGGUGGAGCGAUUUGUCUGGUUAAUUCCGAUAACGAACGAGACUCUAGCCUGCUAAAUAGGCGUACUUUCCGGUAUCUCGAAGGCCCCCGGCUUCGGUCGGGCGGUUUUUACUACCGGCGUACAAAUAAAUCUUCUUAGAGGGAC
rnacentral:rRNA from 1 species